AGCUAGUUGGUAAGGUAACGGCUUACCAAGGCGACGAUACGUAGCCGACCUGAGAGGGUGAUCGGCCACACUGGAACUGAGACACGGUCCAGACUCCUACGGGAGGCAGCAGUAGGGAAUCUUCCGCAAUGGGCGAAAGCCUGACGGAGCAACGCCGCGUGAGUGAUGAAGGUCUUCGGAUCGUAAAACUCUGUUAUUAGGGAAGAACAUACRUGUAAGUAACUAUGCACGUCUUGACGGUACCUAAUCAGAAAGCCACGGCUAACUACGUGCCAGCAGCCGCGGUAAUACGUAGGUGGCAAGCGUUAUCCGGAAUUAUUGGGCGUAAAGCGCGCGUAGGCGGUUUUUUAAGUCUGAUGUGAAAGCCCACGGCUCAACCGUGGAGGGUCAUUGGAAACUGKAAAACUUGAGUGCAGAAGAGGAAAGUGGAAUUCCAUGUGUAGCGGUGAAAUGCGCAGAGAUAUGGAGGAACACCAGUGGCGAAGGCGACUUUCUGGUCUGUAACUGACGCUGAUGUGCGAAAGCGUGGGGAUCAAACAGGAUUAGAUACCCUGGUAGUCCACGCCGUAAACGAUGAGUGCUAAGUGUUAGGGGGUUUCCGCCCCUUAGUGCUGCAGCUAACGC
rnacentral:rRNA from 1 species